UGUGUUCUGUGAAUGUGACCCAUGUUGGCCAACAGAGGACAGCAAAAUACAUUUUUUAUGAUCCUGGGAGGUUCAGGCCAGUCACGUUUUCGCGCAGAGAGGCGGGUCGGUGGAGAGGGACAAGUCAUGUCUCAGUUAUGUGGAUUCUCUUUGCGAAAGAGGGGCCACUUCUGCAAUGGAUUUGGGGGUCCCUGGGCAGGCGUGUGGGUGGGGCAGAUUUUAGGAAGGGGAUGAGCUGCUGUGGGGGCGUCUCCCUUACUGCGGGAAAUGGAAAGUAUUACAGCUAUGGCUGGUGAGAGUGUCAGUGCCAGAGGCCAGGUCUUUGCCAGGUGGAGAGGACACCCUUAUGCCCUACCCCCAAGUUCCAGCACCUCUCCAAGAGCCCUUGGCCCCGGAAGCAGCAACAAAGUGACACUGGACUGGGGAGGAGGAAGCACAACUUUAUUUUCUGGCCCGAAGAUAAACCUGCCAGUAAUUUCAGCAAAUGAAACGUGGAACGCGUCAAGGCCAGAGGAUGGAAAAGGCUCCGGUUUUGAUAAAAGGAGGCCUGCUUGCCUUGGAAUCCUCUCUCCUGCUGGUUGGAAGAUGCAAAGAUGUUUCCAGAGAGGGGCUGAAGAAUUGAGGGGAAAGAAAUGA
rnacentral:lncRNA from 1 species